rnacentral:rRNA from 1 species
UGUUCAUUAAAUGUGGACUAGUAUGAACGGCAUCACGAGGGUUAUACUGUCUCCCUUUUCCCAUCAAUGAAACUGAUCUACCCGUGAAGAAGCGGGUAUAAAAAUAUAAGACGAGAAGACCCCAUGGAGCUUUAAACUCAGAAACACCAUUAUAAACAAACCUUAAUAAUAAACCCCCUGAUUUCUAGUUUUUGGUUGGGGUGACCGCGGAGAAUAAAAAAACCUCCACGAUGAACGGACUAACCUCCUAAUCUAAGAGCAACAACUCUAAGAAUCAACACAUUGACAAAAAUGAUCCAAAAUUUUGAUCAACGAACCAAGUUACCCUGGGGAUAACAGCGCAAUCCAUUUCAAGAGCUCCUAUCGACAAAUGGGUUUACGACCUCGAUGUUGGAUCAGGGUUCUCCAAGUGGUGCAGCCGCUACUUAAGGUUCGUUUGUUCAACGAUUAAAACC